rnacentral:rRNA from 1 species
AUUGAACGCUGGCGGCAGGCCUAACACAUGCAAGUCGAACGAGUGGCGGACGGGUGAGUAAUGUCUGGGAAACUGCCUGAUGGAGGGGGAUAACUACUGGAAACGGUAGCUAAUACCGCAUACCAUCAGAUGUGCCCAGAUUGGCUUAUCUAGUAGGUGGGGUAAUGGCUCACCUAGGCGACGAUCCCUAGCUGGUCUGAGAGGAUGACCAGCCACACUGGUAAUGUGCCACUGUCCAGACUCCUACGGGAGGCAUCAGUGUGGAAUAUUGCACAAUGGGCUCAAUCCUGAUACAGCCAUGCCGCGUGUAUGAUGAAGGCCUUCGGGUUGUAAAGUACUUUCAGCGGGGAGGCGUUACCCGCAGAAGAAGCACCGGCUAACUCCGUGCCAGCAGCCGCGGUAAUUC